rnacentral:rRNA from 1 species
UAAAUUGAGAGUUUGAUCCUGGCUCAGGACGAACGCUGGCGGCGUGCCUAACACAUGCAAGUCGAGCGAUGAAACCCUUCGGGGUGGAUUAGCGGCGGACGGGUGAGUAACACGUGGGUAACCUGCCUCAAAGAGGGGAAUAGCCUCCCGAAAGGGAGAUUAAUACCGCAUAAUAUGUUUURRUCGCAUGAUUGAGACAUCAAAGGAUUCUCUUUAGAGYUUCCACUUUGAGAUGGACCCGCGGCGCAUUAGCUAGUUGGUGAGGUAACGGCCCACCAAGGCAACGAUGCGUAGCCGACCUGAGAGGGUGAUCGGCCACAUUGGAACUGAGACACGGUCCAGACUCCUACGGGAGGCAGCAGUGGGGAAUAUUGCGCAAUGGGGGAAACCCUGACGCAGCAACGCCGCGUGAAUGAUGAAGGCCUUCGGGUUGUAAAGUUCUGUCUUCUGGGACGAUAAUGACGG